rnacentral:lncRNA from 1 species
GCCAUUUUUUGCUUGCUUUUCCCCAUCCCUUUCCCUCACCCCAAAGUAAAGAAAUAACUAUUUUGUUGGACUCAAAAGUCAUCUUAUCUAGGAAGCUUCCCCCACUGAUAUGGUUUGCCUCUGUGUCCGCAUCCAAAUCUCAUUAUAAAUUAUACUCCCAUAAUUCCUGCAUGUUGUGGGGGGGGACCUGAUGGGAGAUAAUUUGAAUCAUGGGAGAUAAUUUGAUUGAUAGGGCACUUUCCCCCAUCGUAAUCUCAUGGUAGUGAAUAAGUCUCAUGAAAUUUGAUGGUUGUAUCCACUUUUGCAUCUUCCUCAUUUUCUCUUGCCUCUGCCAUGCCAGAAAUGCUGUUCACCUCCCACCAUGAUUCUGAGGCCUCCCCAGCCAUGUGGAACUAUAAGUCCAAUUAAACCUCUUCUUCCCAGUCUCAGUUCUACUACAAAAGGAAGAGUGGCACAUGUGGCACCUGGUCAGGAUGGACUCACUAAAGGAUUUAACCCAGACUUCUGAUGAACAAAUAUUGCUGCUACAUUAACUGAUUCACAACAAAGAAAUAAAAUAUCAUCCCGUUGAUUUUAUUAUUUAAACAUGGGCUCAAUCUUAAAUGUGACAAACCAAGAAAUAAAUAUGUCUGAAAAGUAAACAGUAAAUGGCCAAAUGGUAUGGCUGAGGCAUCUGUAGUGAACUCAUGCUGCUUCCUGGAGAUCACUGCAUUCUUUUCUGGG